UAGCAUGCAUUGUGUACAGUAAUAAUGAUUGUACUAUAGACAGUUCAAAUAGGGAGAUGGUGAUGUUGGUGAUAGUGUGUGAUCAUGAGGCUACAACCAUUACACAAUAAUCAUUAUACUUUGCAUUCAGUUGGGUAUAUCCAUUGUUGAACACACACAAUCACAUGUACCACAUAAUAUUUAGACACUAGUUGAUAAGAUUUGAUAAGUGAAAAGUGUCUCAAGUAUAAAUUAUAGACUCUGUUUUGUCAGUUUGUCAGUGUCCAUAAUUUAGAAGCCCUCAGGCUACGCUCGGGAUACUAAAGCAGUACUGGCCUUUGAGCUUCUAAAUUCCAUAUUGAUUAUAGACACCUCCAAAACAGUGUCUAUAAUUACAUAGCGUGUACACGUACAAACAAUGCUAAUAACUUGUUUGAUGUGUCAGGAUCAACGGACUGCUCUGAUGUUGGCGCCUGCAGUGGUUCUCUGGAGAUGGUCUCUCUGUUCCUGGAGAAAGGUGCCGACGUUAUAACCUCUGGGACAAGGUGGGCUCCUCGGCACUCAUGUUUGCUGGUCAAAGUGGUCAUACAGAGAUAGUGGGGUCACUUCUCACACACCCUCACACAGAUCACAGUCUCAGGGACAAUGACGGCCUAACAGCUCUGGACAUUGCUAAAGAGGCGGGGUUCACUGAACUGGCGUUGCAUGCUGGGGAAACACUCCAAAUCAAAAUAUAAACGAUGACAACAGUCUCUAGGAUUGUAGAUUUUAUCAAUGAUCAUGUGCCCAUUUUUUGUAUCUCUUUUAUCAUUCUGUGUUGAGUCUUGUCAGGCACUCCUGAAAUGGUUCCUAUAAGGUG